UCUAAAAAUAGGGCUACUUAAUGCUAGAUCCCUCACUUCCAAGGCAGUUAAAGUCAAUUAAUAAAUCACUGAUCAUAAUCUUGAUGUGAUUGGCCUGACUGAAACAUUUACUGUGUUAAAUGAGGCCUCACGUCCUGGUUACACUAGUGACCAUAUCCCCCGCGCAUCUCGCAAAGGCGGGGGUGUUGCUAACAUUUACGAUAGCAAAUUUACAUUUACCAAAAAAAAAAAAAAAUGUUCGUCUUUUGAGCUUCUAUUCAUGAAAUCUAUACAGCCUACUCAAUCACUUUUUAUAGCUACUGUUUACAGGCCUCCUGGGCCAUAUACAGCGUUCCUCACUGAGUUCCCUGAAUUCCAAUCGAACCUUGUAGUUAUGGCAGAUAAUAUUAAAAUGUUUGGUGACUUUAAUAUUCACAUGGAAAAGUCCACAGACCCACUCCAAAAGGCUUUCGGAGCCAACAUGUCUCCGAACCUACUCACUGCCACAGUCAUACUCUGGAAAUAGUUUUGUCCUGUGGAAUAAAUGUUGUGGAUCUUAAUAUUUUUCCUCAUAAUUCUGGACAAUCGGACCACCAUUUUAUUACGUUUGCAAUCGCAACAAAUAAUCUGCUCAGGCCCCAGCCAAGGAUCAUUAAAAGCUGUGCUAUAAAUUCUCGGACUACCCAAAGAUUCCUAGAUGCCCUUCCAGACUCCCUCCACCUACCCAAGGACGUCAGAGUACAACAAUCAGUUAACCACCUGAGGAACUUAGUUUAACCUUGUGUAAUAACCUAGAUGCAGUAACACCCCUAAAAACAAAAAACUUUUGUCAUAAGAAACUAGCUCCCUAGACUUCCGACUUUCACGAGUCCGACCGAGGGUAGUUUCCCUUCCCGGUCGGGUGGCACUCGGCGGUCGUCGUCACCGGCCUAUUAGCUGCCACUGAUUGUCUUUCCUCCCCCUCCAUGUAUGUUUAUUGGUAGCACCUGUUUGUGAUGAUUAGUUGGGCUUCUUUAGACAGCCGGCCCGCCUGUUAGUUGUGCGGAAUUAAUUAUUGUAACCUUCGGCUCUAAUGUAGAGGAACGUGUUUGUUCCUGGUCGUGAUUUUUCAGUUGUACCUUUCUCAUUCCCCGUGUUUGGGGCCGUUAUUAUUGUGAGCACCCUGUGGUGCGUUGGUGCAUUAAAGAGCACAGCAUUGCACUCUCUGUCUCCUGCUUCUGACUCCACACCCACGACACCCGGAGCAUUACACCGACUAGCUUGGAAAGACGGUACGUGCAGUAUCGAAGGGCCUUCACUGCCUCUCGAUCAUUCUAUUUUUCCAACUUAAUUGAGAAAAAUAAGAACAAUCCCAAAAUAAUUGUUGAUACUGUCACAAAGCUAACUAAAAAGCAGAAUUCCCCAAGAGAGGAUGGCUUUCACUUCAGCAGUGAUAAAUUCAUGAACUUUGAUGAAAAGAUCAUGAUCAUUAGAAAGCAAAUUACGGACUCCUCUUUAAAUCUGUGUAUUCCUCCAAAGCUCAGUUGUCCUGAGUCUGCACAACUCUGCCAUGACCCAGGAUCAAGGGAGACACUCAAGUUUUUUAAUACUAUAUUUCUUGACACAUUGAUGAAAAUAAUCAUGGCCUCUAAACCUUCAAGCUGCAUACUGGACCCUAUUCCAACUAAACUGCUUCCUGUGAUUGGCUGUCCUAGGUUGAACAUAAUAAACAUCUCUCUAUCCACCGGAUGUACACCAAACUCACUAAAAGUGGCAGUAAUCAAGACUCUCUUGAAAAAGCCAAACCUUGACCAAAAAAUAUUUUUAAAACUAUCGGCCUAUAUCAAAACUCCCAUUCCUCUCAAAAAAUAUUGAAAAAGCUGUUGCAUAGCUGCCUUCCUGAAGACAAACAAUGUAUACGAAACGCUUCAGUCUGGUUUUAGAACCCAUCAUAACACUGAGACUGCACUUGUGAAGGUGGUAAAUUACCUUUAAAUGCCGUCAGACCGAGGCUCUGCAUCUGUCCUCGUGCUCCUAGACCUUAGUGCUGCUUUUGAUACCAUCAAUCACCACAUUCUUUUGGGGAGAUUGGAAAUCCAAAUUGGUCUUCACGGACACGUUCUGUCCUGGUUUAGAACUUAUUUGUCGGAAAGAUAUCAGUUUGUCUCUGUGGAUGGUUUGUCCACAAAUCAACUGUUCCUCAAGGCUCCGUUUUAGGACCAUUAUUGUUUUCACUAUAUAUUUUACCUCUUGGUUAUGUCAUUUGGAAACAUAAGGUUAACUUUCACUGCUAUGCAGACGACACACAGCUGUACAUUUUGAUGAAACAUGGUGAAGCCCCAAAAUUGCCCUCCCUGGAAGCCUGUGUUUCUGACAUAAGGAAGUGGAUGGUGUGAAAUGUUCUACUUUUAAACUCGGACAAAACAGAGAUGCUAGUUCUAGGUCCCAAGAAACAAAGAGAUCGUCUGUUGAAUCUGACAAUUAAUCUUGAUGGUUGUACAGUUGUCUCAAGUAAAACUGUGAAGGACCUCGCCGUUUCUCUGGACCCUGAUCUCUUUUGACGAUUAUAUCAUGUAACAUGUAUGUAACAUUGCAAAAAUCUGAAAUGUUCUGUACAAAAACACAGAAAAAUGAAUCCAUGCUUUUGUCACUUCUAGGUUAGACUACUGCAAUCCUCUACUUUCAGGCUACCCGGAUAAAGUACUAAAUAAACUUCAGUUAGUGCUAAACACGGCUGCUAGAAUCUUGACUAGAACCAAAAAAUGUGAUCAUAUUACUCCAGUGCUAGCCUCUCUACACUGGCUUCUUGUUAAGGCUAGAGCUAACCUGCAAAGAAUUACAUGGGCUUACUCCUACCUAUUUUUCCGAUUUGGUCCUGCCAUACAUAACUUCAUAUACGCUACAGUCACAAGACGCAGAUCUCCUUACUGUCCCUAGAAUUUCUAAGCAAACAGCUGGAGGCAGGGCUUUCUCCUAUAGAGCUCCAUUUUUAUGGAAUGGUCUGCCUAUCCAUGUGAGAGAUGCAGACUUGGUCUCGACCUUUACGUCUUUAUUGAAGACUCAUCUCUUCAGUAGGUCCUAUGAUUGAAUGUAGACCGGUCCAGGUGUGUGCAGGUGAACAGAAAGUCACUGGAGCAACGAACCGACCUUGCUGUCUCUGCCUGGCCCGUUCCCCUCUCUCCACUGGGAUUCUGUGCCUCAAACCCUAUUACAGGGGCUGAGUCACUGCCUUACUGGUGCUCUUCCAUGCCGUCCCUAGAAGGGGUGCGUCACUUGAGGGGGUUGAGUCACUGACGUGAUCUUCCUGUCUGGGUUGGCACCCCCCUCGGGUUCCUGCCGUGGGGAAGAUCUUUGUGGGCUAUACUUGGCCUUGUCUCAGGAUGGUAAGUUGGUGAUUGAAGAUAUCCCUCUAGUGGUGGGGGGCUGUAGUUUGGCAAAGUGGGUGGGGUUUUAUCCUGCCUGUUUGUCCCUGUCCGGGGGUAUCGUCGGGCGGGGCCACAGUGUCUCCCGGCCACUCCUGUCUCAGCCUCCAGUACUUAUGAUGCAAUAGUUUGUGUCAGGGGGCUAGGGUCAGUCUCUUAUAUCUGGAGUAUUUCUCCUGUCUUAUCCGGUGUCCUGUGUGAAUUUAAGUAUGCUCUCUCUAAUUCUCUCUUUUCUUUCUUUCUCUCUAUUACUUUCUUUCCUUCUCUCUCUGAGGACCUGAGCCCUAGAACCAUGUCUCAGGACUACCUGGCCUGAUGACUCCUUGCUGUCCCCAGUCCACCUGGUCAUGCUGCUGAUCCAGUUUCAACUGUUCUGCCUGCGACUAUGGAACCCUGACCUGUUCACCGGACAUGCUACCUGUCCCAGAACUGCUGUUUUCAACUCUCUAGAGACAGCAGGAGUGGUCGCAGUUGCAAAUGAGAACCUGUUCUCAACUAGCCUACCUGGUUAAAUAAAGGCAAUCACAGUACCUACGGGGGAAGAAUGGCCAGCCACACAGGAGGGUGAUUUUUACUAAAGAGGAGAAGGAGGCCGUGCUGACCGAGAUGCAUGCUGGCCAAUUCGGAUUGAAUAGCAUGAUUGCCAAAAUCAACCUACGCUUCUUCUGACAGGGAAUUGUCAAGGUGGUGGACA